rnacentral:tRNA from 1 species
GGUGAGAUGGCCGAGUGGUUAUGGCGCUGCGUUCAGGAAAUACCUGGAUCUGUUGGGUAAUAACUCUCUGAGAUUCAUUAUCUGCAUAGUUUCGCAGUGGAGCAAUCCGCGUGGGUUCGAGUCCCACUCUCAUCA